GGACGAACGCUGGCGGCGUGCUUAACACAUGCAAGUCGAGCGGUAAGGCCCCUKCGGGGGUACACGAGCGGCGAACGGGUGAGUAACACGUGAGCAACCUACCCUCAACUUUGGGAUAAGCCUCGGAAACGGGGUCUAAUACCGGAUAAUACCUGCUUCCUCAUGGUGGUGGGUUGAAAGUUCUGGCGGUUGGGGAUGGGCUCGCGGCCUAUCAGCUUGUUGGUGGGGUAAUGGCCUACCAAGGCGUCGACGGGUAGCCGGCCUGAGAGGGCGACCGGCCACACUGGGACUGAGACACGGCCCAGACUCCUACGGGAGGCAGCAGUGGGGAAUAUUGCGCAAUGGACGAAAGUCUGACGCAGCAACGCCGCGUGAGGGAUGACGGCCUUCGGGUUGUAAACCUCUUUCAGCAGGGACGAAGCGAGAGUGACGGUACCUGCAGAAGAAGGACCGGCCAACUACGU
rnacentral:rRNA from 1 species